rnacentral:tRNA from 1 species
GAUCAGCUCAGUUGGUCAGAGUCUGGUGCUAAUAAUGCCAAGGUCACAGGUUUGAUCCCUAUACAGGCCA